rnacentral:rRNA from 1 species
GACGAACGCUGGCGGCGUGCUUAACACAUGCAAGUCGAACGGAAAGGCCCUGCUUUUGUGGGGUGCUCGAGUGGCGAACGGGUGAGUAACACGUGAGUAACCUGCCCUUGACUGUGGGAUAACUUCAGGAAACUGGGGCUAAUACCGGAUAGGAGCUCCUGCUGCAUGGUGGGGGUUGGAAAGUUUCGGCGGUUGGGGAUGGACUCGCGGCUUAUCAGCUUGUUGGUGGGGUAGUGGCUUACCAAGGCUUUGACGGGUAGCCGGCCUGAGAGGGUGACCGGCCACAUUGGGACUGCGGUACGGCCCAGACUCCUACGGGAGGCAGCAGUGGGGAAUAUUGCACAAUGGGCGGAAGCCUGAUGCAGCAACGCCGCGUGCGGGAUGACGGCCUUCGGGUUGUAAACCGCUUUCGCCUGUGACGAAGCGUGAGUGACGGUAAUGGGUAAAGAAGCACCGGCUAACUACGUG